rnacentral:rRNA from 1 species
UCGAGAAUUUUUCUCAAUGGGGGAAACCCUGAAGGAGCGACGCCGCGUGGAGGAUGAAGGUCUUCGGAUUGUAAACUCCUGUCAUUAGGGAACAAUUGUCGCCGAUUAACUACCGGCGGCUUGAUAGUACCUGAAGAGGAAGAGACGGCUAACUCUGUGCCAGCAGCCGCGGUAAUACAGAGGUCUCAAGCGUUGUUCGGAUUCAUUGGGCGUAAAGGGUGCGUAGGUGGUGCCGUAAGUUGGGUGUGAAAUCCCGGAGCUUAACUCCGGAACUGCAUUCAAUACUGCGGUGCUCGAGUACUGGAGAGGAGAUUGGAAUUCACGGUGUAGCAGUGAAAUGCGUAGAUAUCGUGAGGAAGACCAGUGGCGAAGGCGGAUCUCUGGACAGUUACUGACACUGAGGCACGAAGGCCAGGGGAGCAAACGGGAUUAGAUACCCCCGUAGUCC